rnacentral:rRNA from 1 species
GAUGAACGCUGGCGGCGUGCUUAACACAUGCAAGUCGAGCGAUGAAGUUUCCUUCGGGAAACGGAUUAGCGGCGGACGGGUGAGUAACACGUGGGUAACCUGCCUCAUAGAGUGGAAUAGCCUUCCGAAAGGAAGAUUAAUACCGCAUAAUGUUGAAAGAUGGCAUCAUAAUUUAACCAAAGGAGCAAUCCGCUAUGAGAUGGACCCGCGGCGCAUUAGCUAGUUGGUGGGGUAACGGCCUACCAAGGCGACGAUGCGUAGCCGACCUGAGAGGGUGAUCGGCCACAUUGGGACUGAGACACGGCCCAGACUCCUACGGGAGGCAGCAGUGGGGAAUAUUGCACAAUGGGGGAAACCCUGAUGCAGCAACGCCGCGUGAGUGAUGAAGGUUUUCGGAUUGUAAAGCUCUGUCUUUGGGGAAGAUAAUGACGGWCCCA